rnacentral:misc_RNA from 1 species
GUAGGUGAACCUGCGGAAGGAUCAUUAACACGUUCCAAAACGUAUCAACUCAACGGUUAAGUGCAAACUUAUUCCCGCAUAAUGGGAGCUGUUCAGAUAUCUCUAGUGAUGGGUGAGUCUUCGGACUUGCAGAGAUAGCUGAGCUAGGGUCUUGAGCCCAAUGCUCCUUUUAUGUGGCUUUUUCCCCCUUUUUCCCAUCACUUCCACCCACCCCUUUCACCCCUUUGAAACUUAUGACUAAAUCUUUCGA